GAAAAGAAAAGAAAAGAAAAGAAAAGAAAAGAAAAGAAAAGAAAAGAAAAGAAAAGAAAAGAAAAGAAAAAAAUCUACCCUCAUGCUUAAUACUUUAAAAGCAAACUGCCCCUGGAAAAAUUUGCUUUCAGAUCUCUUCCUUUAUUAGGUUCAGAUCCUCUUAAUUGCAUAUGGCUGGUAGCUCCCAAACUUUGGCUUCUAUUUCUUCAUUCUGAGUCCUUGACCUUGCAAGAAUCAGAUGAAUCUAAUAGGGUCAUACAUUUAUAAUAAACCCAAGGCCUACUUGGGUAGGAACACUUCUACUUUAAGUGGGGAGAAACAUCCAUGUACCAAGUAUAUUAAUUGUAAAUAGAAUUGAAUGAAGGUAUCCAAGCAUAUUUUUAUUUCAUUAAGCUGCAUUUAGAGCUAUCCUAAUUAUUAUUUUUUCCCUGUGUUAAGAUUUUUUGCGAGUUUUACUCAGUCUGUUACUCAGAUAUAUAGGGUGUGUUUUGAAGUACAGGAUGCGGUUUGACUUGAAGAAAGGAAAGGUUCUCUCACCAGCAGUUCAUAAGGUUUCUGGACAAUAUCUGAGGAACUAGAGAUUCAUGUCAUUAGCAAUAAUGUUUUGCAUUUUUCAUCCACAGAUCACAAAAUGAUUUGCAAAUUUUAAGUACUUCUGUUUCACAAAAAACCUUCUGUCUUUGUGACAUGUAUCUGAGUGACUUGGAGGAUGAAACAUGGAGAAGUGUUGUGAUGGGCUAGAAGGACCACGUUGAAUGGUCUGCUCCAUUAGACCUUCAUCCUGCUGAAGCCAACAGCAAUUUAAGAUCUCACUCAACCAUGAGCUGUAGACGUACUGCAGGCAUCUGAAUUUUAACUGCAUUAAACCAGUCUGGACCAGCUGCAUGAUGAAGGAGAGUUUUGCUUGGAACCAGAGCUGAUGAUGCUGUUAUCCACCCGUCACAGCUUACCAGGACUUCUGGACAGUGAGAGUGUUGUCUUCCUAGUGCCUGCCCAUCCACAGCAGAAGUCAAUGCCAACCACCCAUAGGAAAAUGUUAAGCACUGACAGGAUAUGAAUGCACAAACAAACAAACAGACAGACAAACAAAAAACUUAUUAGGAAGCAAGCACUGAUAGACAUCUUAUUGUAAUUAGGAAUAAAUAAUAAAUCCUUUCUCAAUGAUU